CAUUUAUAGUUUCAGACAUGAAAUCGCCGAACCCCUCGGCGGUAGGUGUAAAGCCUAAGCGGA
rnacentral:sRNA from 17 species